rnacentral:rRNA from 1 species
AGGACUGGGCAAGACCGGUGCCAGCCGCCGCGGUAAUACCGGCAGUCCGAGUGAUGGCCGAUAUUAUUGGGCCUAAAGCGUCCGUAGCUGCUGUGUAAGUCCAUUGGGAAAUCGACCAGCUCAACUGGUCGGCGUCCGGUGGAAACUACACAGCUUGGGGCCGAGAGACUCAACGGGUACGUCCGGGGUAGGAGUGAAAUCCUGUAAUCCUGGACGGACCACCAAUGGGGAAACCACGUUGAGAGACCGGACCCGACGGUGAGGGACGAAAGCCAGGGUCUCGAACCGGAUUAGAUACCCGGGUAGUCCUGGCUGUAAACAAUGCUCGCUAGGUAUGUCACGCGCCAUGAGCACGUGAUGUGCCGUAGUGAAGACGAUAAGCGAGCCGCCUGGGAAGUACGUCCGCAAGGAUGAAACUUAAAGGAAUUGGCGGGGGAGCACCACAACCGGAGGAGCCUGCGGUUUAAUUGGACUCAACGCCGGACAUCUCACCGGUCCCGACAGUAGUAAUGACGGUCAGGUUGACGACUUUACCCGACGCUACUGAGAGGAGGUGCAUGGCCGCCGUCAGCUCGUACCGUGAGGCGUCCUGUUAAGUCAGGCAACGAGCGAGACCCACACUUCUAGUUGCCAGCAACACCCCUGCGGUGGUUGGGUACACUAGGAGGACUGCCGCUGCUAAAGCGGAGGAAGGAAUGGGCAACGGUAGGUCAGUAUGCCCCGAAUGGACCGGGCAACACGCGGGCUACAAUGGCCCUGACAGUGGGAUGCAACGCCGAGAGGCGAAGCUAAUCUCCAAACGGAGUCGUAGUUCGGAUUGCGGGCUGAAACCCGCCCGCAUGAAGCUGGAUUCGGUAGUAAUCGCGUGUCAGAAGCGCGCGGUGAAUACGUCCCUGCUCCUUGCACACACCGCCCGUCAAAGCACCCGAGUGGGGUCCGGAUGAGGCCGUCAGGCGACGGUCGAAUC